UGUUUGAACCACAGGAAGCUGCUGAGGACGUCCAGAGGAUCUCUUUUCCCAACAUGCAUCAGGCUUCACAGGUAAAACAUGGCUGACAUUAAAACCAGUCUGUUAAACUAGAAGAAAGACGCAACUGGUUCAUCAUCUGUGUUUGUGUUUCAGUCCCAGACCAGAUGUUGUAAAUGUGAGACAGGGAGAAGCAGAGAAUCACCACUUUGGCAUCUUCCUCUCACACUGAUGGAUUCAAACAGUGAAGAAUAUAGUUUGGUAAAACGACGACAAUGCGAUAUGCAAAAAACAUUUUCAUCAUUCAGAGCAGUGUUGUAUCUAAUGCUUCCACCAAAAACUAGAUUUUUCAAUAACCUUCAAACAUUGAGGACAAACUGAGUCUGUGCUCAUUAAUAAUCAAUCAGAACAAACCAGUUUCUUGUUUUACUUUAACACUAGUGUGUUUUCAGGAGGACGGACUGAAGCAGUCUCUCACUGACCAGGUGUCCUGUGAACGGUGCUGUUCCACAAUUGAUGUCAUCACUAAAUGUGAGGUGAAGCAUCAUCCAGAGGUUUUAGUUCUGCUGCUGAAGAGGUUUGACUUUAACAAUAGUAACAUAACGUUUGUCAAAAACAACCGAGCUGUGAAGAUUACUCGCACUUUACAGAUGUCAGAGAACCAGACGUAUGAGCUUUAUGCUGUCGUGGAUCAUGUGGGUGAACUCAAAGAUGGACAUCAUGCAGUGAUCGCGUCUCUUAAUGAUGGUCGAUGGUACAACUACCAUAAUAACACACACUUAUCGGUGAGACUGAUCAGCUUCAUUAAAAUAAUAGAAACCAGUCAGAUGUUCAGCACACGGUUGUUUACACAUGUUUGUAACGUUUGUUUCCUUGUUGUUUGUGGGGUUCCAGCCGUUCCAGCACGGUGACACUGAGAUGUACGUUUUCAUCUGUUUGCUUUUCACCAUUUUCAGUAUUAUUGAUGAAUUAUUAUUAAUAUAAAUGUCUCGUCACUCGUCUCCCACUAGUUCCCAGACGGUUCAUCUUCUUUUCUACAGGAGACAAGAAACUGCAGAUACUUUCAGUCAGGACACCAGGGAGGUGUUCACUUGUGAAGGUGUUCUUCCUGCUACAAGUGACACCAACCAGAGUCCAUGUACUGAGACUAUCAGACAGAAAGAAGAGUUUAAAGAAGCUGUAGAAGACGGUGAAGACGCUGCAGAAACUGGUUCUACUGGUGAAAACAAAGAAACACAAUAUAUAGAGGAUCAGGACAGUGGCGCUGAUGUCAGACACCGUGAACCACACAGUGAGGAGGACAGAGAUGGAAACAAGACAGAUGGGCUGGAAAUAAUGAGACACGAUGAUGAAAACAGGAGGAGAAUUGGAAAAACUGAUGAACUGACAAAUAAAGCAGACACAGUAACUAAAGACGAGAGAAGAGAGGAUCAGGAUGAUGAAGGUGUAGAUGACAAAACACUACAUGAUCAGGAUUUAGAUCUUGAAGGAGCAGAUGUUAUUAGACUGAAGAUCAGACAAUGUGUGGACUCCACAGAAUUAAAGUCCACAGAUAAUGAAUCAGACGUGCUGCCCCAUGAAGGUAUCCUGCCUGCUACCAGUGACACCAACCAGAGUACACAUACGGAGACUAUGAGACAGAAGGAAGAGUUUAAAGAAGCUGUAGAAGAUGGUGACAAAGCUGCAGAGACUGUUUCUACUGGUCAAAAUAAAGAAACACAAAUCACAGUCUGUGUUGAGCCAACAGUGCCUGAAGCUCGUGUCUGUAAUGUAGAGGAUCAGGACAGUGUAGCUGAUGUCAGACAACGUGAACCACACAGUGAGGAGGACAGAGAUGGAAACAAGACAGAUGAGCAGGAAAUAAUGAGACACAAUGAUGAAAACGGGAGGAGAAUCAGAGAAACUGACGACCUGACAGAUAAAACAGACACAGUAGUAACUGAAGACACGAGAGCCGAGGAUCAGGAUGUUAAAGGUGUAGAUGAUAAUAAUGAUCGGAGAGGAGUGAUGAAUGAACAGACUGUAGAUAAUGAAGAGUCAGAAAACCUUGACACAGAACAUCAGGUCAGUGAAGGAGCAAAUGUUGUUAGACUGAAGAUCAGACAAUGUGUGGACAACAGAGACUCCACAUCCACAGAUAGUGAAUAUGAACCAGAAAGUCAAAAUUAUCAUGUUAAGAAAAAACAGAAACUUGGAGAUAAUAGAGGACUUGAUGUUACAUCCCAAAACAAAUCAAAUCGUAAUAAUAAGUGUGAAAGAGAAAACAGUGAUUGUAUUACUGUGCAUAGUGGGGAAAAAAGUGAUGUUGGAGAUGGACGAAGUAGAGGAAUGUCAGGUAGAUCCAGUGAUGGAGGUGUUGAUGAUCACAGAAUGCAGAAGCAACAGGAAAUGAAACAUAAACAUAUUCAGUACAAUCAGGAAAAAGAAGAUAAAAAGAAAAGAAAAAAAGUUCAUGAUAGAACCAGAGAGCAUGAUUUUCCUAGUAAAGAAGGAUCAGCAGAUGGCAGAAGACACAUUAACAGCGACGGCAGUGAUGCACAAUAUUUAUCGUGCAGCAUGGAGGGAGGUGUGAUGACAAGUGAAGACCGGUCACAGCAACACAUCAUUGACAUGACUGAAAAGGCAAGAACAGAAAAGGUAGAGGAACCUUCACACGGCUGCAAGAACAGAAGGGAACAGAAAGACGUUCAACCUGAUCUGGAGACAGACACUUUAACACAAGCUGUCGACAGUUCAAACCUGAAGGAGCCAGAAACAAGUCAGAAAACCAGAAGAGACACAGGCAAGAGAGAGGAGACAGAAAGGAUGAGUCCUUUAAAUGAAGAAAAACACGAUGUACAAAUGGAAGCAGCUGGAAAAGAACAGGCAGGUAAACAAAGGAGGGAGAGAGGAGGAAGGUGCUGGUGGCUGAGGAAGUGGAUAAAUUCACAAAAAAAGGGAAAAAAGAUGAGAAAAAACGAACAAAACAAAGAAGAUGAUAAAGAGAAGUCAGCAGGAGGCAGAGAGAACAAUGACAGUGACAAGGCAGAUCCACAGAUACGUCUGUUUUACAGUGCAAAUGGAAAUGUGUUGGAAAUGAAAGGCCAGUCAGAGAAACGGAGAGGUAAGAAAAAGAAAUGUUGUUUCCAAACAAAGAGGACGAGAACAGAAAUAGUGGAGGACACGUCACAUGACAGCAAGAAACACAGAGAAAACACAGAGUCAGGUGAAAAAAGACAUGAGAACAGAGGACGGUUUAAAGUCAGGAAUCCGUUGAAGCCUCAAAAGAAGGUGGCUCCUCAAAACAGUGAGGAGGGUUCUGACGGGGAAGGGAGUUUAAUGGGAGGCAGAGGAGGAAUGGAGAACAACGACAGUGAGAAACAAAGGAAGACUUCCCGUUGGCGGUGUAUCUGUUGUAUCUGUGGGACGUGUUGA
rnacentral:lncRNA from 1 species